AAUAAAAAUGUGGCAGUCUUUGAAACUGCCAUGAUUUUGGAACCAGCAGUGUUUUUCCUGCUUGAAGAGUGGAAAAUACUGUUCUAAUUUGCUUUAAACUAUAUCAACUAACGCAACUCAUCUCCUUGAUAGCCACCAAAUACUGCAAGCGUUGCCAAAAAAGGUGCUACUUAGCUCUCUUGUUUUUUCAGUAGCCUCAAGACCUUCCAGGAACCUAACCAGGCAUUGCAAGUGAAUUUCUUAAUUUUAUUUAUUUAAUUUCUGCCCGUGAGUCCUUAAACCAAAUCAGGAGGAGAUACGAGUCUGAGCCAAACACGGAUGACAAAGGCGUGGGAGAUGCUGGCUGCACCGGGGGAGCCUUGGGCGGGGUGCCGAGGCUGUGGUGUCAGUGGGCUUUGUACAUAGGACAUCGUGCUUCCUUACUCUUCAGAGUGAAUGAGGAAAGUGGUGGAAUUGUGUUUUAUAGGAAGAUCAAAUUCCCUGUAUUGCAGAGCUCUUCAUAGAUCUGUAUGGCUUUGACCUGACUGUGCUGUAGGCUUGCCUGGCACUCGAAAGGCAACUGCGCUGCUGUGACGAUCGUUCUCAUGCUGCACUCAAGAUGCGUGGCUUUGGAAAAGAUGCUCGAGCUUUCUUCAAACGUGGAACUUCUGUUGAGAGGGAGCUGCAGUUGUGACUCACCGCCGGGCUAUAGUGGGAGGGCUGCGGAAGGAAAAGCUGAAGGAAGCUCUCACCACUGUCUUACAUGACUAAAAUGUAAAGCAAGUAUUAGUCGUUCCUAUGCUGCCUUAUUUUUGGCUUAAUUUUGGUAUCAGGAGCGUGGCUUUGGCUUUACAGGUGUUUCACGUCUGCUCUACAUACUUUUUGACCCGCCGGGGUUAUCACUUUCAAGAGGUAACCACAGGUAUCGAUUUCAGGCUGUUUUUUAGCUUGUGUGGUAUUAUUUAACAGCGCAUAAAAAGAAGAGGGCAAGUGAAGCUAAUCCUGUAUUAUCUCAGUUUUUGACUACCAUUAGGAUGAUGCCAUUGCCUUAGAUGCACUGUUUUGCACUUGCACUGAGGCAAAAAGUAUAAGGGGUUCAGAGGAUCCUACCUCAGUCCUGUGAGCAGAGCAGUCAAAGUGACAGCCUUGCCAUAUCAUAGGAAAACACCAAAGAGUACAAUGGGACACAGCUUAAUUUUAAUAUCAGCAGACCAGGGAGAGAAAGCUAAUUUUAAUUUAAAUAAAUUAGAUCACUGAGAAGGCUGCUUGGGAAUUAUUUUUAAAAAGCAAUAAUAAGAAAUGGCAUAUUAAAUUUUUCUGGGUCAGGUUUGGGGAAUGAAGUCUUAAAACAGACAUUAGGGCUUUUAUUCAUAUUAUUUGUGAACACUUCCAUGGAGAUAUAAAAACAAAGCAACUAGGAAUACUUAGCUACUUAUUUAGGCAAUGAUGGGGAAAAAUAUCUCAGACUUGUAAAGAAAAACCUUACAGUAGCUUAUCGUGGGCUGAAGCAUGCAUAAUUAAACUAUUAAGUCACAGUGGAUUAUUCCAGCACGAGUCUACUUCUGAAUUUCCUUCGUUAUUUGAUUAUGAUGCUGCUGGUGAUGAACUGAAAUCAAGACCUUUGAUAAUUUAAUAAAUCCAGUACGAGAAGAUGAAUAUGAUUAGACUUGGAAUAGAAAUGUUAUUGUACUGAUUUUUAGGUACUUACAGUAACGCAUAUAUUUGAAUCAAGUGUUCUUGAGUCACUAUUUUAAAGGCAUCAGUAAAUCAGACUUAUUUUGCAUGAGACCUACAUUUAAUUUUGUUUUGGAUGUUUCAGGUUGCUCAUUUUUUCUGUUACUUGUAGCACGUGGAUAUUCUAAAUGGAACAAACCAGUUUUUGGUAAUAACUUAUGCUAGGUAAAUUCAAAGCCUUCAGCAAAGGUCGCAUCCUGACUGAGCAAAUGGGGAUAUGACUUCAUCUUAUGGAAAGCUUUAGGCUCCUCUUUCCUAUUUAAGUGGCAUGUCAGAGGUUGCCUAGGAAAGCAUCUUUUUGGUAGACAAAGGGGACCUUUUGUUCCCAUCUCAGACAUCAGCUGGUGGGGCUCACGGAACAAAUUCUUCAUUUUUGUGCAUCUAAUUUGCAGUGAUUAAAUUAUGAAAUGAAAAUUAAAGGCCAUGUUGGGCAGUCAGAGUAUUUGUACAGUGAGAUUCUCUGUCAGAGCAGGAAUUACUUGUCUGAUCUAAACCAGAUGAAAAAUGAGGAGGGUGGACUUAACAUUCAUGAUGUUUUAAACAGGAAAAAUACUUUUUUAUCCCUUUGAGUGACGUAUGUGCUACAGAAUUUCUAAAAGUAGGCUGGUUUUGGACUCAUUUGUGGACUUAGAAAACUUUUGUAUACCUGUUUUCUAAAUUAUUUGCCUGUUUUCCUUGCUUGAUACUCGUAUUAGAGAUGACUGCAGAUGUUAGAAGUUAUCUAUAAAGCAAUAUCCUUAUCUUAACAGUAUAGUUGUAAACCUGCAGCCCAAUUAUAUCAUAAAUGAAAACAGGCUUUUCCAGUGCUUCUGUAAGGAAAUGAUUAGUUAAAUGAAAGCCUAUCAGCAAAGGGAAAGAUAAAGUCCUGUAAAUGUUCUUGAGAUGUUUAAAGUUCAGGGAGUAUUUGGUUUUUACCAUUUGUCUUUUAAGAGAAAUAAAUCUGUUUUGAGCCUCAUUGCUUCCAAGUUUUGAUCUGAAAGAUUUUUCCUGCUGUCAAGACAAGCUGACUUCAGCUUUAAGAACAGUGGCCACAGGUGCUGCAAGGAAGACUCAGUUGUCCAAGGACUGUAUGGUGUUAACACGUGCACCUGAAAUUGCUUCAGCAGAUGAUUCUGGUAGGUUUUAUAGCAGCUUAGUCUGCAAAGGCCAAAAAAAAAAAAAAAAGCUCUAUCUGUAUCAGUAGUUUGCAGUUCAAAGUCACAUGGCCAUAUGCACUGCUAGAAAUUCUUCAUCCUAUUUGCAGUUAUAUUCUAAAUCGUUCACACCAUGACGCUAAUAAAUGGGAUCUGCAGAAUGAUUUUAGACUCGGCACAUCCUCAGCGCAGUCGCAGUGAUUUGGCCUGGGAACGUUAGAGACUCAGUGUCUUGCCUAGGAGGCUAGUUCCUAGCUCCUUCAAAACCUGUGUUGUCAUCUUUUUUUAAAAAAAUAAUAAAAUAAAAACGUUGCCACUUAAAAGGCAUUUUAAGCU